AAUGACUACCUGCAGUAAGUCUUUAGGAUGAGAAGGAUAUUGUGACCUAAAGCUUUCUAUAAUUCCAGGAACUCACUAGCUGCAGAAAAGACUUCUCUGAGUGAAGAGAGAAGUACAAAAUGUGAAACAAAGUGUCACAAAUGCCCUCAAACUUUCUAGCGUGGGAAUAGACUAUGUUUGAGAACCUUGAAGACCAGAGUGUUCCUGAACUACAGGUGAAGCCAGUGAGUUCAGAGAAGGACCCAAAGAAUGCAGCCACAGGGCUUGGAGGAUAAUUUUAUGAACCAAUUUCCUGAGAUCUCAGCACUCUUCAUGCAUUGUAGUUUCUCUUGAGCUCACCUUUCAGGAG
rnacentral:lncRNA from 1 species